rnacentral:lncRNA from 10 species
GUUUCAACUUAUGGCCCAAGAAAAUAGAAGUCAGAAUCAAAAUCCAGCAUGCAGAACUUGUUGUAAAACAUGGCAGUACAGGACAGUAUAUCUCUCCACAUUGUGUCUGAAUUUGGAGGAGGGAACAUGAGUAAGGACGUGCCUUUCACCUUCUUCCACGAUUAUGAGGACUGCCAGCCACUUGGAACUGACUCUCAAAAAGUACCAGAAGUAACUCAUGAGUAAGUUACUCAACCAGGAAAAGCACAUA